rnacentral:rRNA from 1 species
CCUACGGGGGGCUGCAGUAGGGAAUAUUGCUCAAUGGGGGAAACCCUGAAGCAGCAACGCCGCGUGGAGGAUGAAGGUUUUAGGAUUGUAAACUCCUUUUGUUAGAGAAGAUUAUGACGGUAUCUAACGAAUAAGCACCGGCUAACUCCGUGCCAGCAGCCGCGGUAAUACGGAGGGUGCAAGCGUUACUCGGAAUCACUGGGCGUAAAGAGUGCGUAGGCGGGGUAAUAAGUCAGAUGUGAAAUCCUGUAGCUUAACUACAGAACUGCAUUUGAAACUGUUACUCUGGAGUGUGGGAGAGGUAGGUGGAAUUCUUGGUGUAGGGGUAAAAUGCGUAGAGAUCAAGAGGAAUACUCAUUGCGAAGGCGGCCUGCUGGAACAUUACUGACGCUGAUGCACGAAAGCGUGGGGAGCAAACAGGAUUAGAUACCCCAGUAGUC